UUUAAUGUGGACCCGUCGGUCUGUUGCCGUUGCAACGAACACCGCAUGCAGACGAUAUGCAAAUCGGGCCUUCCGCGAGCAAAAUGUGCAUCAUUUCAUUUUUUGUUGUCGCCGCCCUGCUCACGCCAAGAUUGAUGGCUGACGCCCGUUCUCGCGUUUUGCUCCGUUUUGGAUAUUGUCGACGGAGAAAAUUAAAUACCUGCGGAAAGCGGGCGAAAGCUAACGGCUUUAAUGGCUUGGAAAGCUGCACCGGCUUAUAAAAAGGAGCGGUGGAAUUGUGGAGGAGAGACAUUAUAGUAAGUUAUCUUGUCUUCUUAGUUUUUUGGCCAACUACUUCUUCGCUGAAUUAAAUUUAUUUUAUAGUUGGCGUGGAUAAAAGUGAAUAACGGUGACUACCCAAUAACUUGGUUACUAGGAGACCAUAAAUAGUAAAACAAGUUUUUACAGAACACGUCGGUCGAAAAGCAAGCCAAAUAGUUUCUCUCUAAGAUUCCAUUCCUAAGUUACUCCAUAUAUUUGCACAUUAAAAUGGGAAAGACACAGAGGAAACAUAAGAAAACUCCCAAGCAUCGUCGCUUGUCGUACUCCACGUACAUUCGUAGAGUUUUAAAGCAAAUCCACGGAGACCACAUGACACUCUCGAGCAAUUCCAUGAUAAUUAUGGACAAUUUCAUGAAAGAUAUCUUCGACAGACUCACUGAGGAGGCCUCACGAUUGUCCAAAUGUACUAUGACCAGCAGGGACAUACAGGCAGCCGUUCGUCUGCAUUUGCCUGGGGAUCUUGCGGACCAUGCAAUCAGCGAAGGUACCAAAGCUUUCUCCAAAUACAUGCAGUCAUUUAAUUAAUGUAUGUAUGUAUGACUCAAUAAAUUUUUUCCAUAUUUAAA